UACGGAGGGGGCUAGCGUUGUUCGGAAUUACUGGGCGUAAAGCGCACGUAGGCGGCUUUGCAAGUGACGGGUGAAAUCCCUCGGCUUAACCGAGGAACUGCCUGUCAGACUGCAUGGCUUGAGACCAGGAGAGGUGAGUGGAAUUCCCAGUGUAGCGGUGAAAUGCGUAGAUAUUGGGAGGAACACCAGUGGCGAAGGCGGCUCACUGGACUGGUACUGACGCUGAGGCGCGAAAGCGUGGGGAGCAAACAGG
rnacentral:rRNA from 1 species